rnacentral:rRNA from 1 species
AGAGUUUGAUCCUGGCUCAGGACGAACGCUGGCGGCGUGCUUAACACAUGCAAGUGGAGCGACGAACCAGGGCUUGCCCUGGGGCAGAGCCGCGAACGGGUGAGUAACACGUGGGUUACCUGCCCCGAUGACCGGGACAACCCGAGGAAACUCGGGCUAAUACCGGAUGUGGUCUUCGGACGAAAGGAAGCUUCGGCCUCCGCAUCGGGAUGGGCCCGCGGCGCAUUAGCUUGUUGGUGGGGUAACGGCCUACCAAGGCUUCGAUGCGUAGCUGGUCUGAGAGGACGAUCAGCCACACUGGGACUGAGACACGGCCCAGACUCCUACGGGAGGCAGCAGUGGGGAAUCUUGCGCAAUGCGCGAAAGCGUGACGCAGCAACGCCGCGUGGGGGAAGACGGCCUUCGGGUUGUAAACCUCAUUCAGUUGGGACGACCGCCAUCCGGUUAAUAGCCGGUUUGGUUGACGGUACCUUCAGAAGAAGCCCCGGCUAACUACGUGCCAGCAGCCGCGGUAAUACGUAUGGGGCAAGCGUUGUCCGGAAUCAUGGGGCGUAAAGAGCGAUGUAGGCGGCCCCGAUAAAGUCCGCUGUGCAAAGUACAAGGGCUCAAGCCCUGGAAAUGACUGGUGGAAUACUGUUCUGGGCUCUAGUUUCGGGACNANGGUGGAAGUGGAAUUNCCUGGGUGUAUCCNGGUGGAAAUGCCCCNCGAUUGUUCNGGAAGGGAACGCCCCAUUGGGCCAA